UCCAUGCAGUGGCAACACUGCGGAAGACCUAGUGGCGGACGGGUGAGUAACACGUGAGGAACUUGCCCCGGAGACCGGGAUAACUCUCCGAAAGGAGAGCUAAUACCGGAUGUCCUCACCGAGCCGCAUGGUUUGGUGAAGAAAUGGAUUCCGCUCCGGGAGAGCUUCGCGGCCUAUCAGCUAGUUGGUGGGGUAACGGCCCACCAAGGCAUCGACGGGUAGCUGGUCUGAGAGGACGAUCAGCCACACUGGGACUGAGACACGGCCCAGACUCCUACGGGAGGCAGCAGUGGGGAAUCUUGCGCAAUGGGCGAAAGCCUGACGCAGCGACGCCGCGUGUGGGAUGAAGGCCUUCGGG
rnacentral:rRNA from 1 species